AUGGAUGAUAGAGGCGCGGCAUUUAAGAGUACCUCUGCAGAGGUAAGCACGAUGAAGCACAGGGAAAGGAAAUGCCGCCGAAGUGUACACCCGACGCUUUAAGGGUGUAUGCUGGGCCUGCACAGAAUAUGUGCAGGACUGUCACAAAUAUCAUCAAAUUGUGGAGAGCUAUCAUUCAA
rnacentral:ncRNA from 2 species